UAAGUUGAUUAUCUUUUUAGCAUACCCAGCAACGACUCAAUUUUUGGAGCUAAAUAAUUUAAUUUGGAUUAAAUUAAAUUAAAUUAUCGCUUAAAGAUCGUCCUGGACCGAGUGACCUGGGAGUGUUGGAAGCCUUCAGUAGGGGCUCAAGCAUUUCAACCUCGAUCGUGGGUAAGUCGCCUCCAGUAAGUCUUGGACCAAAUUUUCCCUUGAGGGUAAAUUACUAAAUUGUGAACUUUUGACCCUUUAGGACUUGCGCCGCUUGGGGAAGCGUGUUGUUACUGUUAGGACUCGUCGAGCAAUCAUCCAGGUAGAGGCCGAGGUAGGGGCAAAGGCAAGCUGGCAAGCGACCAGAAGUGACCGUGGCGAGCCAUAGGGAUUUCUGCUUCCGCUUACCCCGUUUUAGACCUUUUGUACUUGAGUUUUAUUUUCUUUCUUAUUUACUAUUUCAUUUGUUUAAAGGUAGAUAGGGCCCGAGUAGGAUUUUAACAUUAUUUACAUUUUCCAUAUUAUCCUGAUUUGAUUUUCAUAAAUAAAAUUCUGAAGUUUGAUUCGUUUUAACUAAA